GAUGAACGCUGGCGGCGUGCCUAGUACAUGCAAGUAGAACGCUGAAGCUUGGUGCUUGCACCGAGCGGAUGAGUUGCGAACGGGUGAGUAACGCGUAGGUAACCUGCCUCUUAGCGGGGGAUAACUAUUGGAAACGAUAGCUAAUACCGCAUAAAAGUCGAUAUCGCAUGAUAUUGAUUUGAAAGGUGCAAAUGCAUCACUAAGAGAUGGACCUGCGUUGUAUUAGCUAGUUGGUGAGGUAACGGCUCACCAAGGCGACGAUACAUAGCCGACCUGAGAGGGUGAUCGGCCACACUGGGACUGAGACACGGCCCAGACUCCUACGGGAGGCAGCAGGAGGGAAUCUUCGGCAAUGGGGGCAACCCUGACCGAGCAACGCCGCGUGAGUGAAGAAGGGUGUCGGAUCGUAAAGCUCUGUUGUAAGAGAAGAACGAGUGUGAGAGUGGAAAGUUCACACUGUGACGGUAACUGACCAGAAAGGGACGGCUAACUACGUG
rnacentral:rRNA from 1 species